rnacentral:rRNA from 1 species
AGAGUUUGAUCCUGGCUCAGGAUGAACGCUGGCGGCGCGCCUAACACAUGCAAGUCGAACGGCACCUAUCUUCGGAUAGAAGCGAGUGGCGAACGGCUGAGUAACACGUGGAGAACCUGCCCCCUCCCCCGGGAUAGCCGCCCGAAAGGACGGGUAAUACCGGAUACCCCGGGGUGCCGCAUGGCACCCCGGCUAAAGCCCCGACGGGAGGGGAUGGCUCCGCGGCCCAUCAGGUAGACGGCGGGGUGACGGCCCACCGUGCCGACAACGGGUAGCCGGGUUGAGAGACCGACCGGCCAGAUUGGGACUGAGACACGGCCCAGACUCCUACGGGAGGCAGCAGUCGAGAAUCAUUCACAAUGGGGGAAACCCUGAUGGUGCGACGCCGCGUGGGGGAAUGAAGGUCUUCGGACUGUAAACCCCUGUCAUGUGGGAGCAAAUUAAAAAGAUAGUACCACAAGAGGAAGAGACGGCUAACUCUGUGCCAGCAGCCGCGGUAAUACAGAGGUCUCAAGCGUUGUUCGGAAUCACUGGGCGUAAAGCGUGCGUAGGCGGUUUCGUAAGUCGUGUGUGGAAGGCGGGGGGCUCAACCCCCGGACUGCACAUGAUACUGCGAGACUAGAGUAAUGGAGGGGGAACCGGAAUUCUCGGUGUAGCAGUGAAAUGCGUAGAUAUCGAGAGGAACACUCGUGGCGAAGGCGGGUUCCUGGACAUUAACUGACGCUGAGGCACGAAGGCCAGGGGAGCGAAAGGGAUUAGAUACCCCUGUAGUCCUGGCAGUAAACGGUGCACGCUUGGUGUGCGGGGAAUCGACCCCCUGCGUGCCGGAGCUAACGCGUUAAGCGUGCCGCCUGGGGAGUACGGUCGCAAGAUUAAAACUCAAAGAAAUUGACGGGGACCCGCACAAGCGGUGGAGUAUGUGGCUUAAUUCGAUGCAACGCGAAGAACCUUACCUGGGCUUGACAUGUAAUGAACAACAUGUGAAAGCAUGCGACUCUUCGGAGGCGUUACACAGGUGCUGCAUGGCCGUCGUCAGCUCGUGUCGUGAGAUGUUUGGUUAAGUCCAGCAACGAGCGCAACCCCUGUUGCCAGUUACCAGCACGUAAAGGUGGGGACUCUGGCGAGACUGCCCAGAUCAACUGGGAGGAAGGUGGGGACGACGUCAGGUCAGUAUGGCCCUUAUGCCCAGGGCUGCACACGUACUACAAUGCCCAGUACAGAGGGGGCCGAAGCCGCGAGGCGGAGGAAAUCCUAAAAACUGGGCCCAGUUCGGACUGUAGGCUGCAACCCGCCUACACGAAGCCGGAAUCGCUAGUAAUGGCGCAUCAGCUACGGCGCCGUGAAUACGUUCCCGGGUCUUGCACACACCGCCCGUCAAG